rnacentral:tRNA from 1 species
GCCUGGGUGGCUCAGUCGGUUGAGCAUCUGAUUUCGGCUCAGGUCAUGAUCUCACAGCUCGUGAGUUUGAGCCCCGCGUCGGGCU